rnacentral:lncRNA from 1 species
GGGGGGCGCAAGGGGGAGCGGGCGGGGCGCGCGCGGCGCGGGGCUGGGCUCGGAGCGCGCGGGGCUCGGCCGCUGGGAGAGUCGAGCCGGGGCCGCGCCGGGCCCACGAGGAGCGCACGAGCCUUCGAGGUUGUGGACCAGGGAGGGAGGAGCCGCCGCCGCCGCCGGCUCCCGCCCGGAGGGAGCCCGAACCCGCCCUGGGCCAUGAGCCGCCGGACCCGGGAAGCCCGGCCGCGGUCCGGGCAGCGCUCCGCCGGCGCCCCGGCCCGCCCGGCCGCAGCUGCGCGCCUGUAGGGCAGGAGUCUCCGAGGGGACCUGCUGGUUUGCAGAACUGUCCUCUGUGCUUAGUGGCCUCAUCAAGUGGCCCCUUUCCUCCCUGGGCUGUCCUGUGGUUAUUGACUGCAGAUCAUGGCGAGGCUGCCCCAAGGUGAGAGGGAAUUCCCACGGUGCCCUGUGGCCCAGAGGCCCCACGGAUGAUCUCACAGAAGUGGGGCAGCUAUUUUUACCAGCGUUUAAUUACAGAGUUGGGAUCCCAGGUCAGAGAUGAGAUGGUGCUUCCAGGGGCUGUGAGGGGAGGGCCAUUCCAGGAGAUGGGGGGCUCCUGGGAGGGCAGGCGGCGGCGUGACCCUGCUCUCAGUGCCCCUAAUGCUAGACAGGCCCCCUCAGAUAGGGGCUCCCCAGGGCAGGGCCUAACCACAUCACCCCACUUAUUCUCCCCGGGUGAUUUUCACCCUGGCCCGGGAGGCAGGGGGGAUGCAUAAAGCCAAUGGGCUGGGCCUGUGCCCCAGGGCUGAUGCCAUCUUAGGGAGGAGGAGGCAAGGCCCCCAAAUGACUGGACACACACCCUGUAGUUUGACGAUCCAGGGUGAUCAAGGACGGAGGGCCCUGGGAAGAGAAGGAGGCAGCUGGGUGAGGGGAUGGCUGGGAUUCUGGAGUGGGGCCUCUUCGGGAAGGUGGGAUUGGAUGGGAGGUCUGGAGGGGCAGGAGGGCAGGAGGCGGGAACACAAGUAGAGCGGGCAGGCCGAGAAGUCUGAGGAGCAGCACCUCCCAUGCCAGGAGGACAAAUUGGUCAUACUGGAUCCAUACCGGGAGGUGACCCCUAGGCCUGGAGUCAGGGCAAGAAUCCCAGGCCCGUCACUCACAAGCUGUGAGUUCUCAGGCCCCAAGUGAGGGCUUAGGCACCGACGGCUGUGACACACCUGGGGUGCUGAACACAUUCAUUUCUUCAUUUAUUCAUUCAGUGUUUACUGAUCACCUGCCAUGUGCCCAGCAUGGGGGACACAGCCACUUAGAAGACUCAAAAUCCCUGCCUUGUGGAGCU